CGCACCUUGCGCCCUUUGGCUAUUCCGGAAGGGCAUGCCUGUUUGAGUAUCAUGAACACCUCAACUCUCAUGGCCUGGCCAUGAUGACGACUUGGACUUUGGGGGUCUUGCCGGCCUAACCGUUGGCUCCUCUCAAAUGAAUCAGCUUGCCAGUGUUUGGUGGCAUCACAGGUCGUGUAUAACUAUCUACGCUUGUGGUUCUCCACCGGGUAACCUUCAGCAAUGGAGGUUCGCUGGAGCUCACAGACGUCUCUACCUCAGGGAAGACGAGCUUUUUGAACGUUUGAUCUCAAAUCAGGUAGGACUACCCGCUGAACUUAA
rnacentral:rRNA from 1 species